GACGAACGCUGGCGGCGUGCUUAGCACAUGCAAGUCGAACGCUGAAGCUCAGCUUUUGUUGGGUGGAUGAGUGGCGAACGGGUGUGUAACACGUGAGUAACCUGCCUCCUUCUUUGGGAUAACGCCCGGAAACGGGUGCUAAUACUGGAUAUUCACUGGUCUUCGCAUGGGGGUUGGUGGAAAGGGUUUUUCUGGUGGGGGAUGGGCUCGCGGCCUAUCAGCUUGUUGGUGGGGUGAUGGCCUACCAAGGCUUUGACGGGUAGCCGGCCUGAGAGGGUGACCGGUCACAUUGGGACUGAGAUACGGCCCAGACUCCUACGGGAGGCAGCAGUGGGGAAUAUUGCACAAUGGGCGCAAGCCUGAUGCAGCGACGCCGCGUGAGGGAUGGAGGCCUUCGGGUUGUGAACCUCUUUCGCUCAUGGUCAAGCCGCAACAAUGGUUGUGGUGAGGGUAGUGGGUAAAGAAGCGCCGGCUAACUACGUG
rnacentral:rRNA from 1 species